rnacentral:rRNA from 1 species
CCUGAGAAACCCAAAAGAUCGAAUGGGGAGAUUCAUCGUCAGCUCAUUUUGUAUAUAUAUGAGUUAUGAUAUGGGUUACUACUUGUAGUAUUGCCUGUACAUUCUUGUAUAUUUUAUUGCAAGAUGUUGUCGGCGUUGCACUUCUCCCCUAGUAGGACGUCGCGACCCGUUGAGUGUCGGUCUACGGCCCAAGUGGUAGCCUUUAAUUCUUGUAAUUAAAGACCCUUGGUGUUUCCUGGCUGACUGCUCGGCGGUAUUCGUACGGUAUUAAGCCGCUUUUUAGCGUUCAUAUCCGUCGCAAGCGCGGUCAAUUUUUGGUAGUACGGACCUAGUGCCGUCGCUAUAAUUGAUCAGCUGUUGGUUGUACGGUAUUCUAGAACUGGCUUAACAUAUACCGGUCUGCGAUGCUACUGCUUUGGUA